CUGAGAGCUGCCCUUCAUGGCAACUGAACCCACAGCAACAAUGAGCUUAAUCACCAUCUUCAUCUGGACACUUAUCUGCUUUCAUGGUUCCAGUGGCCAGAUUACUGUGACUCAGACUCCAGCAGUGACAUCUGUUCUCCCAGCACAGACAGUCACUGUGAGCUGUAAGACCAGCAGUUCUCUGGGUACCUGUUCUUAUACUGGCUUAUGUGGCCACUGUCUUGCUUGGUACCAACAGAAAACUGGAGAAGCUCCUAAACUCCUGAUCUAUUAUGCAACUGCCCGUCAGACUGGGAUCCCAGAGCGUUUCAGUGGCAGUGGAUCUGGGACUGACUUCACUCUGACCAUCACAAGAGUCCAGGCUGAAGAUGCAGGAGAUUAUUACUGUCAGCAGGGCUCCAGCUACCCUCUCACACAGUGAUAGACGUCUGUACAAAAACCUCCCUCAGCUCUACAGGAGCUGCUCUGGUUCAUUAACAGGAACCACAGAGGACUGAGGCUGAGAACAGCUGCAAAGCUGCUACGAUUAUUUACGAUUGAUUAGAGCUGGGUUAGUGCAUUAUUUAUUAAUAUUGUGUUCUAAACACAGAAAUAAUGUCUAGAUAUACAACUUUGUUAACUAAGAAAGCUAUGAAAUUGAAAAUAACAAAUAAAAGUAAUACUAUUAAAUAUUUUAGCUCAUAAAUGCUACCAGAGAAAAUAUUACCAUACAUAUUUAGCAUUUCUUGAACUUUGCAUCCUGUGAUAUUGAUUGUCAAGAUGCAAUCCAACCAACAUUUUUAAGGCAUGGCACAGAAGCUUGUGUGAAAAAAAUUUUUGUAAAUAGCAUGAGAGACUAGACUGGAUGUAUUUGAAUGACGACAAAUCGAUGAAGGACCAGCCUGGAGACCCUGAAACUAUUAUUUUUACUUCCUAUGUUUGUUGUUAAAUAGAAUCACAAACACAGACUGCAGUUAUUAAUACUGACCAGGAGAGGGAGACAGAUCAUGUCAAUACUAACUGGAUUGAUACAGUACUUUGAUAAAUGGCAAUUAAUCUGCCUUCAGUACUCCCAGUUGUCAUCACCACAGAGGUAAUGACAAUUUGGAGUAAUGAAAGCUGAUCAGAUCAAUUUUAAAUUGUUUUAAAUUCUGUAAUGUUUCAAAAGUGCUUAUACAGGACAAUUCUGUAUAUUUGAAAAUAAUUGCUAAUUAUUUUUACACUAACGCUUUGACAGAAUAAAACAUAAAAAAAUGGCA